rnacentral:lncRNA from 1 species
AAUUACUCAAUGAGUGAAUAGUCACCAGUCUUGAAGAGAACAGAAGAAAAGAUUGGCAUCAAGCUGAAGGAGGAGGUGUACAGCUUCCUAGGGCCAUCGGAGAGACAGUGACCAACCUUACCUGUCAAUGAGGAGACACUAGAUUUGCUAGGAGGCACAGGUCAUGCUGAUCUGACUGGGCAUGCUGUAUUUAUGUACCUGGAAGUCUGUAGGUCCCUGCUGGCCUCAACUUGUGCACAUGUGGGGGAGCUAAGCCCACAGGGGGUUCACUCUGUGAUGAAGUGUUGCUUGGAGCUGGGACUCUCACCUUCUUUGGAUAAUGUGGCUGGAUUCCCUUCAUCCCCCGACAUGGGAGAAAAGACUCCUUGGCAAAGUGUAACAAUCUCCCUAACUCGAUCUCUCGUGGGACUCACAGACUCCCAUCAACUGCACACUGACAGCAAAUCUAUUCCAGUACUUUUGGGAGAAUAAGAAUUGAUGCUAGCUUGGUGAAAGCGAUAAUGUGGCAUCCUUUUAGUCCUAUUCUUUCCUCACUUCUGGUGAUGUGAUUUUGUUACUAACACUGAGAAACUAAGUAGGGAGUGGAGAAGAUGGUGUCACCCUCAAAUCAGCCUGUCUUUGUCUCUGAGCAUAGUUUAAGGCAAGAGAUGCUGAGAUGCUGUGAUAGUAGUGGCACUGCCUAGAGUUGUGUAUAUUAAAGAUCCUUAAAUUCUCCCUGUGUAAUACUUUCAAAACAUCCCAAAAGUUUCUUCCAGCAGUGGGGUUGUGGGAGCACAUGUAUAUCAUUUUCUAGCUGUUUGUUGUGGUUUUGGGCUUUGUACUUUGGCAGGGUCAAAACUGAGCUUCUGCUUUUCACAGGUCCAUUGUCACCAAAAUUACCCACAUUUUGUCCUGUUAGCAUGUCCUAUGCAUUUCUGUACCAUCAUGACGGGGAACUUUGAUAGUGUGGAUUUUUUUUUAUAAGUUACUUCUUUACAGUAAGCCAACAAGCCUUGUCACUAUUCAGACAUGAAAGGGGAACCUUACAAAAGUAACCAAACCUGGACCAUGCAAGAAUUACACAUAGGAAGACAUGUAUACAGGCCAAACUCCAGUUUUAUCAGCAGAAUUCUAGCAGCUUUUGCUUCAUGUUCUGUAACCAGCUAGCUCGUUCUAAGCAGCCUUCCAGCACUGUUGAACUUCCAAAGUCAGUGUUACCUGGUGGCUUCCAAGGAAUACCUUUACAUAUAGGGUGCUCUGUCUGUCAGCCAGGCCGAGGGGGUCCUGCAGACUGGAGGUGAGCUGAGCCUUGUUGAGAAAUUUUACAGCACUUCACUGGACUGCUCUGGGCCAUUAGUCUUGUAGUCUCCUUACUGCAUACAGAUUACAGUGUGUUUGUAUUGACGGAGUUCUGUAGAUAUUAACACUGACUUUUUUUGACUCAGAAGAUGAAUUGUGGUAGUUAAAGGGUCAUUGAAUUAGGGCUUGAGACACCUUGUACGGUGUUAACCCUGGUGGGCAGCUGAGCACCGCCCGGCUGCUUGCUCAUUUCCCUAUGCUAGAAGGGGAGAGGAUCAGAAGGGGAAAAGUGAGAAAACUCCUGGGCUGAGAUAAGGGCAGUUUAAAAGGUAAAGCAAAGGUUGUGUGCACAAGCAAAGGAGAAUAAUUGACUUUGUCCCCUUGGCAGGCAGGUUUUCAGCCACUUCCAGGAAGCAGGGCUCCAACAUGCAAACACUGUGACCCUGAACGUCCCCCUUCCUUCUCCUUUCCCCCAGUUUUUAUUGCUGAGCACAACAUCUCAUGAGACAGAAUAUCCAUGGAGUCUGUUGGGGUUGGAAGUCCUGGCCAUGUCCCUUCCCAGCUCCUCGUGCACCUUGCUGGGAAGUAGAGAGAGCAACAGAGAAGCCUUGAUACCCUGAAAGCUCUGGUCAGCAACAGCCCUUGUGUGUGCUCAACACUGUUUUCAUCACAAAUCCAAAACAUACGCGUUGCAGUGAAGAAAAUUAAUUCCAGCCCAGCCAAAACCAGUAUACAUCUUUAGCUGCUAUUUUAUUCCAUAUUAAAAAUAAUUUGAAUCGAAUGUGUUUUAGGUUUGUUUUAGUCUUGAACAUAACACAGAUUUCUCACUUAAAUGGCAGUCCAGCUUUCAAACACCUACUUUCUUUUCUGAUGCUAAUAGUAGAACAGCAUACUAUACCUAAGAUACCUACUGCAGGUAUCAUAUUUUCUGUUUUAUGGAAAAGCUCUGAGGCUUGUUAACAUUCUUGAUAAGUAAAGGUAGCUUUUAUAUGAAGAAAUAAAAAUAAGAAAAUAAAUUAGAUAAAAUUUAAA